UGUAGGUGAACCUGCUGCUGGAUCAUUA
rnacentral:rRNA from 1 species